rnacentral:rRNA from 1 species
UACAGAGGGUGCAAGCGUUAAUCGGAAUGACUGGGCGUAAAGCGUGUGUAGGUGGUUAGAUAAGUUAGAUGUGAAAUCCUCGGGCUUAACCUGAGAACUGCGUUUAAGACUGUCUAGCUCGAGUACUGUAGAGGAUAGUGGAAUUUCCAGUGUAGCGGUGAAAUGCGUAGAUAUUGGAAGGAACACCAGUGGCGAAGGCGACUAUCUGGAUAGAUACUGACACUGAGACACGAAAGCGUGGGGAG